rnacentral:rRNA from 1 species
UACGUAGGGUGCAAGCGUUAAUCGGAAUUACUGGGCGUAAAGCGUGCGCAGGCGGUUAUGUAAGUCAGAUGUUAAAUGCCCGGGCUUAACCUGGGAACUGCAUUUGAGACUGCAUGGCUAGAGUUUGGCAGAGGGGGGUAGAAUUCCACGUGUAGCAGUGAAAUGCGUAGAUAUGUGGAGGAACACCGAUGGCGAAGGCAGCCCCCUGGGUCAAGACUGACGCUCAUGCACGAAAGCGUGGGGAGCAAACAGG